UGGGGGAUAUUGCACAAUGGGCGAAAGCCUGAUGCAGCGACGCCGCGUGGGGGAUGAAGGCCUUCGGGUUGUAAACUUCUUUUGCUCUGAACAAGGCAUGCUUUUGGGGUGUGUUGAGUGUAGGGCUUGAUUAGCGCCGGCUAACUACGUGCCAGCAGCCGCGGUAAUACGUAGGGCGCGAGCGUUGUCCGGAAUUAUUGGGCGUAAAGGGCUUGUAGGUGGCUGGUUGCGUCUGUCGUGAAAGCUCAUGGCUUAACUGUGGGUUUGCGGUGGGUACGGGCUGGCUUGAGUGCAGUAGGGGAGGCUGGAAUUCCUGGUGUAGCGGUGGAAUGCGCAGAUAUCAGGAGGAAUACCGGUGGCGAAGGCGGGUCUCUGGGCUGUUACUGACGCUGAGGAGCGAAAGCGUGGGGAGCGAACAGG
rnacentral:rRNA from 1 species